rnacentral:tRNA from 1 species
AGAAAGUUAGUCCAAUCAAGACAGUUGAUUUCGACUCAACAGAUCAUAGCUUAACUCUAUGACUUUCUU